UGAGCAGCGAUGAACGAACAGUAUGAUGUAUUCUGUUUACCCAGAGUUUAGAAUGACCCAGGGUUAAAAAUUGUGAUAAAGCCCGAGAGAGAGUAGGCUACGCGAUUUUGGUUCCAGCCGUCAACGUGCAUAUUCCGUUAAUUAAACCGCUGUUUUAAGUGAUUCAUCAAAAGAACCAACUCAUGAGAGUCAUUUGCUUGGGAACUGUACUUGCACUGGUAGGCUACCUAUAUUUGAUUCACAAAAAGAGUCGAUUUAUUAGUUUGAUAAUCGGACUAAAUUGACCGGGUUGUAUGUUUUCGUUUCUCACACACACACACACACACACACACACACACACACACACAGACACACACACACACAAAAAAGAGUCGUAAAGUCAUUACUUUAGUUGCGUUUGACUGACUAAAAAGCAACCAGUUCAGAGGAGUCAUUCGUUGAGGAGUCAGGCUACACUGAUCCAGUUGCACCCCCCCCCCCCAGUCUCUCUCUCUCUCUCUCUCUCGCUCUCUCUCUCUCUCACACACACACACUCUCACAUGGACACACUCUCUCUCUCUCGCUCUCUCGCGCGCGCGCGCGCGCCAGCUCCGUCCGUAUCUCCGUCGGUCUGAGUCCUCAGCGCUGGCAAGGGAUAACAAACUGCUUUUCCGCAGCAAUACGUGGUCAACGGAACAGCCCACAGAGUGGACAUUCACAGAAGAUUUGGGUGUUUUGAAGGCAGGGUCUUCCCUGGUUGGUUGUGAAGAUCUAAGUAAACAAAGCUUGUUACUGUGGCAUAACUGGCCUUUGGAUCUGAAAAGUGGCAGCAGAGUCCUAUUGAAACAAGAAGCCUCCAGAACCAUCCAAAAUAUCCUAUAAAGAUGGAAUUCAAAUUAAAACCUUGAAUGCUGAUUUAUUAGAGUGAAAAGUGAAAGAGCGGUUCUUGGGAGGGUAGGUGGCUGGAGCUGUGCCAGUCACGACUGGAAGGAGGAGAGAGUGAGCGAUAGAUAAGACGAGGAAGGAAAGAGCAAGGCUCCUUACAUUGCACUCCUUCCACUCUGCUGAUGCAUAGAAAAUGGUGGGUUGACGCACACACCGCCUCACACAGUGAGAGAUAAGCCUGCAUGGACUCAUUAUAAAGCAACAAGACCACACACCAUUAUAGUGUUUAUGUACUAUUUUAUUGA
ensembl:lncRNA